UACGUAGGCAUCAAGCGUUGUUCGGAGUUACUGGGCGUAAAGGGUGUGUAGGCGGUUCUUUAAGUUUGGUGUGAAAUCUCCCGGCUCAACUGGGAGGGUGCGCCGAAUACUGAGGGACUAGAGUACGGGAGAGGAAAGUGGAAUUCCUGGUGUAGCGGUGAAAUGCGUAGAUAUCAGGAGGAACACCGGUGGUGUAGACGGCUUUCUGGACCGUAACUGACGCUGAAACACGAAAGCGUGGGUAGCAAACAGG
rnacentral:rRNA from 1 species